UCUAAAAGACAAGAAAAUAUGUUCAACGAUGCCCGAAAGAGCGACACGACGCGAAUGGCUUCGUACUGCGGCGCAAACUGCGACCUUCCCGAACUUGGAGUUUCUUCUAGAAACAUUUUGGCGGCACAGAGUGGAUUGCAUCAGCUCAGCUUCGAAUUCUGCUUACACGUGGACGAGCAAGGAGAACGCAGAAAGCGUAGAAAACGAGAGAAAGAAAGGAGAGACGCGUAGAGAGCGAUGAACGAGUGGCGAACUAAAACGAAACAAAUAGACGAGAGGAGAUUGGCGCCCGUUCUGAAAUAGAAGAAGAAGGCGAAACUGGACUCGUUCCUGUUAAUUCACUUAAACAGACGCGCUCGACUAGUUCGUUAGCUCGAUCGAACCGCGUCGCGACAAGCUCGCGCGCUGCCUCUGCGAGUUGGUCGACGUCGUCCCCGCCGGAAAUAUGAAGCACUACUUAUCGGGUGACGCGUUUAGUCUCGGCCGUUGGCUAUUUUCAAAGGUAACAAACAGUGUCUUUAGAAUCGAAGUUAAACGCCGUUAUGCGGUGGCAAUCCUGUUCCUCGGAAAAUCGGUCUGCUUUUCGAUAAACAACGAAACGAGUCGUAGAAACGUUGAGUUCGCUCUUCGACUCGCACGAACUACGUUUUCAAUCGUCGUCAACCAAUUUCCAUUAAACUAAUGGGAUCGCCGUUUCCGCUGCUUUUCCAAUAGCAAGAAACGAACGAAGUUCAGCCAUACUUCUUGGUUCUGGGAGGUGUCGGAGCACUUGACAUGGUCGAUCUUUUCGAGAGUAUUCUGUCUGCCUUUCGAUCAUCCGUGAAAUUCAGUGGCUAGAUAGGACGUUCUGUUGAUAUUAAUCAUCCGGUUUGCAGAAUAGACUUGGCCGAAACUAGCGGAACGAGAUGGAAGGGUUUGUUACCAAUAGAGUAAUUUAUGAAGCCGUCGCGCCCCCGAUAAGCCGCUUUAUCUACGCGAAGACCGUGUCAUCAAUGGUCUCGAAGCGGCUUCCCGCCUGCCAGAAACUGCUGCGAUUUUAUCGAAUCGCCAACCAGCUAUCUCAAAGUUUGAGAAUAGUGCGCUGUUCUAACCGCUGGCACGCGAAUUUACGAGCUGCCGAAAUGUUAAACGCGCCCGAGUCGUGUGUUUUCGCAGCUGCAUCUAAAAUGGUUGUGCAAACCAAUCGGGAAACACGGAAGUUGAUUCGAGAAUGCAGAUUCAGUUGUUACACCUGGAUUUUCUCCUUUCCCGUUAUCAUGUACUGACAAUAACUGAUCUUCUACAAACACUCUGUUCGUUAUACCAAAUAUACUCGAGUUCAUCGUUACUUAUUCGAUGAAACGCCAAAAAAAAGAAAUAAAAAAAUAAAGAUAUUUGAACGCAGAUCAUCUUUUUACCUAAAACAACAAGUGUUACAUACCUAGGAAAUCGCGAACGUAUCCUAUCAGUGAAAACUUAACGUGAGCCGAAUGGGAACAGAUCGAAACGGAA